rnacentral:rRNA from 1 species
UACGUAGGCAGCGAGCGUUGUUCGGAAUUACUGGGCGUAAAGAGUGUGUAGGCGGUGCUCUAAGUUCGGUGUGAAAUCUCCCGGCUUAACUGGGAGGGUGCGCCGGAAACUGGAAUGCUCGAACGUGGGAGAGGAAAGCGGAAUUCCUGGUGUAGCGGUGAAAUGCGCAGAUAUCAGGAAGAACACCCGUGGCUAAGGCGGCUCUCUAGUACGGUACUGACGCUGAGACGCGAAAGCGUGGGGAGCGAACAGG